rnacentral:rRNA from 1 species
UUAAGCGACUAAGCGUACACGGUGGAUGCCCUGGCAGUCAGAGGCGAUGAAGGACGUGCUAAUCUGCGAAAAGCGUCGGUAAGGUGAUAUGAACCGUUAUAACCGGCGAUGUCCGAAUGGGGAAACCCAGUGCAAUUCGUUGCACUAUCGUUAACUGAAUACAUAGGUUAACGAGGCGAACCGGGGGAACUGAAACAUCUAAGUACCCCGAGGAAAAGAAAUCAACCGAGAUUCCCCCAGUAGCGGCGAGCGAACGGGGAGCAGCCCAGAGUCUGAAUCAGCUUGUGUGUUAGUGGAACGGUCUGGAAAGUCCGACGGUACAGGGUGAUAGUCCCGUACACCAAAAUGCACAGGCUGUGAACUCGAAGAGUAGGGCGGGACACGUGGUAUCCUGUCUGAAUAUGGGGGGACCAUCCUCCAAGGCUAAAUACUCCUGACUGACCGAUAGUGAACCAGUACCGUGAGGGAAAGGCGAAAAGAACCCCGGCGAGGGGAGUGAAAAAGAACCUGAAACCGUGUACGUACAAGCAGUGGGAGCACCUUCGGGUGUGACUGCGUACCUUUUGUAUAAUGGGUCAGCGACUUAUAUUCUGUAGCAAGGUUAACCGUAUAGGGGAGCCGCAGGGAAACCGAGUCUUAACUGGGCGUUAAGUUGCAGGGUAUAGACCCGAAACCCGGUGAUCUAGCCAUGGGCAGGUUGAAGGUUGGGUAACACUAACUGGAGGACCGAACCGACUAAUGUUGAAAAAUUAGCGGAUGACUUGUGGCUGGGGGUGAAAGGCCAAUCAAACCGGGAGAUAGCUGGUUCUCCCCGAAAGCUAUUUAGGUAGCGCCUCGUGAAUUCAUCUUCGGGGGUAGAGCACUGUUUCGGCUAGGGGGUCAUCCCGACUUACCAACCCGAUGCAAACUACGAAUACCGAAGAAUGUUAUCACGGGAGACACACGGCGGGUGCUAACGUCCGUCGUGAAGAGGGAAACAACCCAGACCGCCAGCUAAGGUCCCAAAGUCAUGGUUAAGUGGGAAACGAUGUGGGAAGGCACAGACAGCCAGGAUGUUGGCUUAGAAGCAGCCAUCAUUUAAAGAAAGCGUAAUAGCUCACUGGUCGAGUCGGCCUGCGCGGAAGAUGUAACGGGGCUAAACCAUGCACCGAAGCUGCGGCAGCGACACUAUGUGUUGUUGGGUAGGGGAGCGUUCUGUAAGCCUGCGAAGGUGACCUGUGAGGGUUGCUGGAGGUAUCAGAAGUGCGAAUGCUGACAUAAGUAACGAUAAAGCGGGUGAAAAGCCCGCUCGCCGGAAGACCAAGGGUUCCUGUCCAACGUUAAUCGGGGCAGGGUGAGUCGACCCCUAAGGCGAGGCCGAAAGGCGUAGUCGAUGGGAAACAGGUUAAUAUUCCUGUACUUGGUGUUACUGCGAAGGGGGGACGGAGAAGGCUAUGUUAGCCGGGCGACGGUUGUCCCGGUUUAAGCAUGUAGGCUGGUUAUCCAGGCAAAUCCGGAUAAUCAAGGCUGAGGUGUGAUGACGAGGCACUACGGUGCUGAAGUAACAAAUGCCCUGCUUCCAGGAAAAGCCUCUAAGCAUCAGGUAACAUCAAAUCGUACCCCAAACCGACACAGGUGGUCAGGUAGAGAAUACCAAGGCGCUUGAGAGAACUCGGGUGAAGGAACUAGGCAAAAUGGUGCCGUAACUUCGGGAGAAGGCACGCUGGUGUGUAGGUGAAGCCCCUGCGGGUGGAGCUGAGACCAGUCGAAGAUACCAGCUGGCUGCAACUGUUUAUUAAAAACACAGCACUGUGCAAACACGAAAGUGGACGUAUACGGUGUGACGCCUGCCCGGUGCCGGAAGGUUAAUUGAUGGGGUUAUCCGUAAGGAGAAGCUCUUGAUCGAAGCCCCGGUAAACGGCGGCCGUAACUAUAACGGUCCUAAGGUAGCGAAAUUCCUUGUCGGGUAAGUUCCGACCUGCACGAAUGGCGUAAUGAUGGCCAGGCUGUCUCCACCCGAGACUCAGUGAAAUUGAACUCGCUGUGAAGAUGCAGUGUACCCGCGGCAAGACGGAAAGACCCCGUGAACCUUUACUAUAGCUUGACACUGAACAUUGAGCCUUGAUGUGUAGGAUAGGUGGGAGGCUUUGAAGCGUGGACGCCAGUCUGCGUGGAGCCAACCUUGAAAUACCACCCUUUAAUGUUUGAUGUUCUAACGUUGGCCCCUUAUCGGGGUUGCGGACAGUGUCUGGUGGGUAGUUUGACUGGGGCGGUCUCCUCCCAAAGCGUAACGGAGGAGCACGAAGGUUAGCUAAUCCUGGUCGGACAUCAGGAGGUUAGUGCAAUGGCAUAAGCUGGCUUGACUGCGAGCGUGACGGCGCGAGCAGGUGCGAAAGCAGGUCAUAGUGAUCCGGUGGUUCUGAAUGGAAGGGCCAUCGCUCAACGGAUAAAAGGUACUCCGGGGAUAACAGGCUGAUACCGCCCAAGAGUUCAUAUCGACGGCGGUGUUUGGCACCUCGAUGUCGGCUCAUCACAUCCUGGGGCUGAAGUAGGUCCCAAGGGUAUGGCUGUUCGCCAUUUAAAGUGGUACGCGAGCUGGGUUUAGAACGUCGUGAGACAGUUCGGUCCCUAUCUGCCGUGGGCGCUGGAGAAUUGAGGGGGGCUGCUCCUAGUACGAGAGGACCGGAGUGGACGCAUCACUGGUGUUCGGGUUGUCAUGCCAAUGGCACUGCCCGGUAGCUAAAUGCGGAAGAGAUAAGUGCUGAAAGCAUCUAAGCACGAAACUUGCCCCGAGAUGAGUUCUCCCUGAGACUUUAAGUCUCCUGAAGGAACGUUGAAGACGAUGACGUUGAUAGGCCGGGUGUGUAAGCGCAGCGAUGCGUUGAGCUAACCGGUACUAAUGAACCGUGAGGCUUAACCUU